GCUGUGUGUGCUGCUCGUGUCUGAUGUCAGCCGGGGGUCAUGAUUCAGACUGGAACAGACCCUGCAGGCCCAACCAAAGGCUUGGGUCACRGAUACGUCAUUAUCUCAAGCGGCCUUGAAAUCCGAGGACAGGGUCCAUGGCACCAAGUUAACGUUCUCCAGCUCUCAACCCUCUCUCUUCCUGGUUUGCCCGCACAUCUACGCUUCAAAAGGAACACUUCUGGGCUGGCGGGAUGACCGUGCUCAGUCAGCGUUUUACUGCGGUUAAGAACCGAGAAAGAGCUGGGCUGAGGGAAACCAAAGGGCUAUCACAGCUAGACCACCAGGCAGACUACCAGCACACAGACUGGGAUCUGUUCAACCCUUCGCUCCCAGACGGUGAUGGUGGCGCUCUAGGAGCCAGCCAACUGUUAAUGGAGUUUAUGAUCCCUGUGCCAAAGGAGGCACACAUACCUGGCCAUUAGGUUGAACGUUAGAGAGCAACCUUCCACUGUUUACAGUAGUUUACAUCAGAUGAGGUUCGAAGGAGAAG